rnacentral:rRNA from 1 species
GAUGAACGCUGGCGGCGUGCCUAAUACAUGCAGGUCGAGCGAACGGACGAGAAGCUUGCUUUUCUGAUGUUAGCGGCGGACGGGUGAGUAACACGUGGAUAACCUACCUAUAAGACUGGGAUAACUUCGGGAAACCGGAGCUAAUACCGGAUAAUAUUUUGAACCGCAUGGUUCAAAAGUGAAAGACGGUCUUGCUGUCACUUAUAGAUGGAUCCGCGCUGCAUUAGCUAGUUGGUAAGGUAACGGCUUACCAAGGCAACGAUGCAUAGCCGACCUGAGAGGGUGAUCGGCCACACUGGAACUGAGACACGGUCCAGACUCCUACGGGAGGCAGCAGUAGGGAAUCUUCCGCAAUGGGCGAAAGCCUGACGGAGCAACGCCGCGUGAGUGAUGAAAGUCUUCGGAUCGUAAAACUCUGUUAUUAGGGAAGAACAUAUGUGUAAGUAACUGUGCACAUCUUGACGGUACCUAAUCAGAAAGCCACGGCUAACUACGUG